rnacentral:lncRNA from 1 species
GAUCAUACCACUAUGUAUACAUAUAACACAUUUUGUAAUUCAAGCAUUAAAACCAUUAGUCCUCUACAUACCGAAUUAUCAAAUAACUUAUCAAAGACACACACACACACACACACACACACAUAUAUAUAUCAUUACAUCUUAUCAAAUUCAUAUACCAAGCAUAAACCACUUCUUUACUAUGACCAAAAUUACUUAAACCUUGGAUCAUUAGCAUUAGAUCAAGCCAUUUUCGCAUGGCUAAAUACAUAUACAAAAACUAAAUUAAAAACUAGCCUAUACAUGCCACAUAACCAAAAACUCAAAGCUUUAAUUUACCAAAGCCAUAACCGGAUAGUGUGAUCACGACUCCAACGUCUUCCAACCCGAGCAAGUCUUUAGAACUCUAAAAAAAACAUAAGAAAAACACACAGAGUAAGCUAUUACAGCUUAGUAAGUCAUAAGCAAAUAGAUAACAACAUUUAAUUAGUUACAACAAAAUCAAAUCAUGUUUUCAAUAUUCGUAUACAUUUCCAUAAUCGAAAAAUACAUUUAUCAAACACGUACUAUACAUCAAAUCCAUAUUUAACCAAAUACACAUAAGUUUAACAUUUGGCCGAAUGUAUAUAUAUAUCCAACAAUUUCAUGACAACCAAUAUAUGUACAUACUCACUAAUCACAAAGAUCCGAACGUUUAUAUGCUCAUCAAAUACAUUGAAACAAAUGUUCAUAUAUUUAUCCAUUACAUAUAACCAAAAUUAUAUAUAUAUACCCAAUGCAUAUAAUCACUUAAUUUAAACAGAUUCACUGGCACUUCACCUGCUAGGCUUAUAGCCUGAUUCAGUUCACCGACACUUAGCCUGCUAGGCUUAUAGCCCGAUUCAGUUCACCGGCACUUAGCCUGUUAGGCUUAUAGCCUGAUUCAGUUCACCGGCACUUAGCCUGCUAGACGUAAAGUCCAAAACAUUUCACCGGCAAUUAAUCUGAUUGGUACUAAGCUUUAAAAAAAAUCUCAAUUCACAGAAGUUGUAUCUCAUAUUUGUAUAUAGAAUCCACAUAAAAUUCAGCUCAAUAAUUUAUAAACUAUAUCUUUAAAUAACAUAGAUGUAUAAAGUUCAAACAUCAAUUCCAGCUCAAUAAUUUAAUUAUACAUCCAAACCUAUAUAUAUAUAUAACUUAAUGCAUUAAUCUACUACUAAUAUCAUAUAUUCGAUCAUAUUUUAAUAAUCCAACUAAUAAUUUCAUACUUUCAAUGCUAUUCAAGAACUUUACAUGAAUAUAUACUUGUAUAUUAGCAUAAUUGAACCUCAUGUAACCUUGUAUAAUUGUCAUACCUAAAUUCACUAUAAAAUCAUAUACGUGUAUGUAUACCUGAUCAUUCAAAUAUAAUAUAAUAUAAUAUAUAUAAUUACCAACUCACAUAUACAAAUAUAAGUUACAUAUCUUAAUCAAAUCUAAAAGUUUAUACAUAUAUAUAUUUAUAUACAUAUAUUCGGACCUAAUAUACAUAUAUGUAUAUAUCAUACUUACCUUGGAUUAAAACCAAGAAUUUAUACAUAUACAACAUUCAUACUUCCACUAAAUUCAAAAACUAUAUAUAUAUACAUAUGUAUAUAUAUUCGAUCAUUAUAUAUAAAAUUAUAAAUAUAUAUAUACAUAUUCAUACCUUUAUCUAAAUUCAAGGUUUAUUCAUGCUAUUACAUAUAUUUUUGAAUCUAUCAUAUACAAGUAUAAUUUCUUACCUAAUUUCAUUACAAUAGAUUUUCAUAUAUAUACAUGCCUAUCCGAAUCUCACCUUUACUUAUAUAAAAUUUAAACCUAUAAUUUAACUCAUGAACUUAUACAAGAUUAUACUUGUAUAUUCGAAACUAUCAAAUACUUAUAUAAAAUUUAUACUUAUACUUCAAAUUAUAAACAUUUAAUUACAGCUCAUCAAGUAUACAAUCGAUAUACAUGUAUAAAUAUUGAUUUAUUAAGUUUUAAAUUGCUAAUAGACUUACCUCGGAUAUCGACGGACAUAGUCGACUACUUUCGACUUUCCCCGAUCUAAUUCCGUUUUCUUCUGUUCUUGAUCUAAAUAAGUUCAAAUUUAACUAAUUUAACCACAUAUUCAUUUAAUUAAAUCCAAAAACACAUAAAUGGGCAAAUUAUACUUUUGCCCCUAUCAUUUCACAUUUUUCACAAAUUAGUCCCUAUUUCACAAAAAUACAAAAUAAACAAACUUUCCUUGCACAAUAGCUUGGCCGAAUAUGCACUAAGCUCAUAUAAAUCCAUGCAUGUCAUUUAUUUCACAUUUUAGUCCCUCAAUUUAUUAUUUUUGCAAUUUAGCCUUAAUUACUCAAAAUCAUCAAAAAUUCAAUUUCAACAUAUAUAUAUCCAUUUCAUAUAUUUUAUUUUCUAUCAUUAAACAACAAAAUUACAAGCUUUCAACAAUGGAAAAACACAAAAUCAUCAUCAAAUUCAAAAAUUUAAGCAUGGGUCAAGUAGUAUUCGAAACAACGAUCUCAAAAACAUAAAAAUCAUCAAAAACCGAAACCGAAACAUACCUUAAUUCGCUUGAGCAAGGGCCGAAUACCUAGCUUGGUUUUCUUAUUUUCUUUCUCUUUUCAUUCGGCACAAAGAUAAUGAAUAUGGCCACUUUCUU